GACGAACGCUGGCGGCGUGCUUAACACAUGCAAGUCGAACGCUGAAGCUCAGCUUUUGUUGGGUGGAUGAGUGGCGAACGGGUGAGUAACACGUGAGUAACCUGCCUCCUUCUUUGGGAUAACGCCCGGAAACGGGUGCUAAUACUGGAUAUUCACUGGUCUUCGCAUGGGGGUUGGUGGAAAGGGUUUUUCUGGUGGGGGAUGGGCUCGCGGCCUAUCAGCUUGUUGGUGGGGUGAUGGCCUACCAAGGCUUUGACGGGUAGCCGGCCUGAGAGGGUGACCGGUCACAUUGGGACUGAGAAGCGGCCCAGACUCCUACGGGGGGCAGCAGUGGGGAAUAUUGCACAAUGGGCGCAAGCCUGAUGCAGCGACGCCGCGUGAGGGAUGGAGGCCUUCGGGUUGUUAACCUCUUUCGCUCAUGGUCAAGCCGCAACAAUGGUUGUGGUGAGGGUAGUGGGUAAAGAAGCGCCGGCUAACUACGUG
rnacentral:rRNA from 1 species